CCCGGGUUCACGCCAUUUUCCUGCCUCAGCCUCCUGAGUAGCUGGAACUACAGGCGCCGCGCCACCACUCCCGGCUAAUUUUUUUAUUUUAUUUUAUUUUUUAUUUUUAGUAGAGACGGGGUUUCACCGUAGCCAGAAUGGUCUUGAUCUCCUGACCUCGUCAUCCGCCCGCCUCGGCCUCCCAAAGUGCUGGGCUUACAGGCGUGAGACACUGCGCCCGGCCCAUACUACUACUUUUUUGUUCUAUAAUUGCAAUGCAGGUUCAGUUAUUGUUUUUUUUGUUUUUGGCAAUGCUGAUGUAUCCAUUGGAAUCAAGUCAGAGAAACAGAAGCCACUUUUGGAUUUCAAACAGAAUUUAACAAAGAGAAUGUUGACACAGUUGAAAUUAGAGCUAAAAAAGCCAAACAAAGGAUAAGACGAUCCAGAAAUCUGUAAUGGCAGGAAGUUGUUACCAUGAUUAUGCUGAAAGAAGAAACCCAGAAGACCACCUUACUGGAUCUUAGAAGCCAGGACUACCUGGGAGAAGCUGGAAGUACACUACACAACAGACCUCCAUUCAUGCAGUAAAGGGUUGUUUGGUGGGUAAUGGAGCCACUGAGAAAAACUGGCCAUCGCUGGACAUAACAGUAGAGGUAGAGAGCUACAGGGAAAAACUGUGGAGUGAAAAACCUUGACUUCUCAUUUUAUCCUGCCUUCCUAUUUCUAUUGAGUGUGUCCCAUUGGUUGGCACUAGUUGAAAGCCAGUGGGCAAGGGGUUCUGGAAAAUUUAGUUUCCUCUGAUAUAGAUAAAAAGGAGGAAAAGUUGGAGAAUGAAACUGAGAGCAGAUAGGUAAAGUGGAAUGCACUAUGAUUUUAAGUAGAAAAAUGUUCACUUUUAAUUCUUUAUAUGGGCACAUUCAACUUUAACACAGAAUUAGAUAUUAUAUUUUUCUGAUUGCAUUUUUAAAAUAUCCUCAUAAAACAAAAUAUAAGAAUGAACUUUCUGGAGCAUAGAUAUACUAUUUUGUUUUUAUUUUCCCUUCGUAAACUAUAUUUGUUAACUUUGUGGGUGGUUUUAUAAGCUUCUUGGCAAGAAUGUUUAUUGUAUUUGUAUUUUCUAUAGCUAUUAUGAUUGUUAUUUAAUUGACAGAUAAAAAUUUUAUGUAUUGAUCAUGUACAAUAUGCCGUUUUGAAAUACGUAUACAUUGCAGAAUGGCUACACUGAGCUAAUGAACAUAUGCAUUGCCUCACACACUUAUCACAUUUGUGGUGACAACACAACAUCUACUCUCUUAGCAUUUUUUGAGAAUAUAAUAUAUUGUUAUUAACUACAGUCAUCAUGUUGCACAAUAGCACUCUUGAACUUACUCCUUCUAUAUAACUGAAAUUUUGUAUCCUUUAACCAACAUCUCCCCACCCUCACCCCUCACCCCUCACCCCAGCCUCUGGUAACCACCAUUCUACUCUCUACUUCUAUGAAUUUAACUUUUUUAGAUUCCAUAUAUAAGUGAGAUCAUGCUGUAUUUGUCUUUCUGUGCUUGGCUUAUUUCACUUAAUGUAAUGUUCUCCAAGUUCAUCCAUGUUUUCUCAAAUGUCAGGAAUUCCUUCUUUUUAAAGCUGGAUGAUAUUCCUUUAUAUGUAUCCAAUAUACAAUAUAUGUCUAUUAUAUGUACAAUGGUAUUCCAUUGUAUGUCUGUUAUACGUAUAUAUCUCACAUUUCCUUUAUCUAGUCAUACGUUGAUACAUAUUUUGGCUGUCAUAAAUAAUGCUGCAAUGAAAAUGAGAGUUCAGGUAUCUUUCACAUACUGAUUUCAUUUUCUUUAAAUACAUACCCAAUAGUGAGAUUACUGGAUCAUACGGUAGUUUUAUUUUCAAUUUUUGGAGGAAGCUUCAUACUGUUUUCUAUAGUGGCUACACUAAUUUACAUUAUCCGCAUCACUGUACAGUGGUUUCCUUCUCACCACAACCUUGUCAACAUUUAUUGUCUUUUGUAUUUUGAUAAUAGCCAUCUUAACAAGUAUGAGAUGAUAUCUUGCUUUUUAAAAUUUUUUAUUUUAUUUUAAGUUCUGGGAUACAUGUGCAGAACAUGCAGGUUUGUUACAUAUGUAUACAUGUGCCAUGGUGGUUUGCUGCACCUGUCAACCCGUCAUCUGUCUUGUGGUUUUAAUUUACAUUUUUCUGAUGAUUAGUGGUGUUUAGCAUAUUUUUCGUAUACCUGCUGCCCAUUUGUAUGUCUUCUUUUGAGAAAUGUCUACUCAAGACCUUUGCCCAUUUUAAAAAUUAAUUAUUUGGUUUUCUAAAAGUAAUAUUGAGUUUCUUAUAUAUUUUGGAUAUUAAUCUCUUAUCAGAGGUAUGGUUUGCAAAUAGUUUCUCUCAAUCUGUAUGUUGCCUCUUCACUCUGUUGAUAUUUUCCUUGAGUGUGCAGAAGUUUUUUAGUUUGAUAUAAUCCCAUUUGCCUAUUUUUGUUUUUGUUCCCUGUGCUUUUGCGUUCAUAUCCAAAAAUGUAUUUCCCAUACCAAUGUCAUGGAGCUGUUCCCCAUGUUCCUUUCUAGUAGUUUUACAGUUUCAGAUCUUACAUUUAAGUCUUUAAUCAAUUUUGAGUUGAUUUUUGUAUUUGGUGUGGAAAAAAAGGUCUAGUUUCAUUCUUCUACAUAUGGAUAUCCAGUUGUCCCAACGUUAUUUACUGAAGAAAGUCUUUUCCCUAUUGUGUGUUAUUGGUGCCUUUGUCAAAAAUCAGUUGAUUUCAAAUGCAUGGAUUUAUUUAUGAGCUCUCUAUUAAGUUUCAUUUCUGUAUGUGUCCAUAUGCUAUAAUAGUAACAUGCUGUUUUGAUUACUAUAGAUUUGCAGUACAUUUUAAAGUCUGGUAGUGUGAUGCCUCUAGCUUUGUUCUUUUUACUCAUUUUUUUUUUUUUUUUUUUGAGACGGAGAUUCACUCUUGUUGCCCAGGCUGCAGUGCAAUGGUACAAUCUCGCCUCAUUGCAACCUCCACCUCCCGGAUUCAAGCGCGUCUCCUGCCUCAGCCUCCCGAGUAACUGGGAUUACAGGCUCCCACCACCACACCUGGCUAAUUUUUUGUAUUUUUAGUAGAGACAGGGUUUCACCAUGUUGGCCAGGCUGGUCUCGAACUCCUGACCUCGUGAUCUGCCCGCCUCGGCCUCCCAAAGUGCUGGGACUACAGGUGAGAGCCACUGCACCCGGCUCGUCUUACUUAAUAUUGAUUUGACUAUUUGGGAUCUCUUACGGUUCUAUAUGAAUUUUAAGAUUUUUUUCUAUUUCUGUAAAAAAUGUCAUUGGAAUUUUAAUAAGGGUUAUAUUGAAUCUGUAGAUUGCCUUGAGUAGUAUGGAC
rnacentral:lncRNA from 1 species